AUUGAACGCUGGCGGCAUGCCUAACACAUGCAAGUCGAGCGCGCGGCAGGCGUGUGAGUAAUGUAUGGAGAUCUCCCUUAUGGGGGGGGAUACCUCCGGGAAACGGUAGCUAUUACCGCAUACCAUCAGCUGACCCCAUGUGGUAUUAGCUUGUAGGUGGGGUAACGGGUAACCUAGGCGACGAUCCCUAGCUGGUCUGAGAGGAUGAUCAGCCACACUGGGACGGAGACACGGCCCAGACUCCUACGGGAGGCAGCAGUGGGGAAUAGUGCACAAUGGGCGCAAGCCUGACGCAGCAAUGCCGCGUGGAUGAAGAAGGUCUUCGGGUUGUAAAGUUCUUUCGGUAGAGAGGCGGUAACUAAAGAAGAAGCACCGGCUAACUACGUGCCAGCAGCCGCGGUAAUAC
rnacentral:rRNA from 1 species